rfam:Triticum urartu cultivar G1812 contig164947, whole genome shotgun sequence.
UUCAUACUCCCUCUGUAUCAAAAUUCUUGUCUUAGAUUUGUCUAAAUACGGAUGUGUCAAGUCGCGAUUUAGUAUUAGAUACAUCUGUAUCUAGAUAAAUCUAAAAUAAGAAUUUUGGAUCGGAGGGAGUACUUC